ACGGAAGGCAGCAGCUAAGAAUCUUCCGCAAUGGACGAAAGUCUGACGGAGCGACGCCGCGUGGAUGAUGAAGGUCGGAAGAUUGUAAAAUCCUUUUAAGCAUGAAGAAUAAGCGGGACAGGGAAUGGUUCCGUGGUGACGGUAGUGCUUGAAUAAGCAACGGCUAAUUACGUGCCAGCAGCCGCGGUAAUACGUAAGUUGCGAGCGUUGUUCGGAAUUAUUGGGUGUAAAGGGCAUGUAGGCGGAUAUGCAAGCUUGGUGUGAAAUUCCGGGGCUCAACUCCGGAACUGCGUUGAGAACUGCAUAACUAGAGUCACUGAGGGGCAAUCAGAAUUCCUGGUGUAGGGGUGAAAUCCGUAGAUAUCAGGAAGAAUAACAAUGGCGAAGGCAGGUUACCAGCAGAUGACUGACGCUGAGGUGCGAAGGUGCGGGGAGCAAACAGGAUUAGAUACCCUGGUA
rnacentral:rRNA from 1 species